rnacentral:rRNA from 2 species
UACAGAGGUCCCGAGCGUUGUUCGGAUUCACUGGGCGUAAAGGGUGCGUAGGUGGCCAUGAAAGUCUGAUGUGAAAUCUCCGGGCUCAACCCGGAAAAUGCAUUGGAUACUAUGUGGCUUGAGGUUUGGAGGGGGGACUGGAAUUCUCGGUGUAGCAGUGAAAUGCGUAGAUAUCGAGAGGAACACCAGUGGCGAAGGCGGGUCCCUGGACAACACCUGACACUGAGGCACGAAAGCUAGGGGAGCAAACAGG